rnacentral:rRNA from 1 species
GAGUUUGAUCCUGGCUCAGGACGAACGCUGGCGGCGCGCCUAACACAUGCAAGUCGAACGAGCAAAGAGGAGCUUGCUUCUCUGAGCGAGUGGCGAACGGGUGAGUAACGCGUGAGGAACCUGCCUCAAAGAGGGGGACAACAGUUGGAAACGACUGCUAAUACCGCAUAAGCCCACGGGUCGGCAUCGACCAGAGGGAAAAGGAGCAAUCCGCUUUGAGAUGGCCUCGCGUCCGAUUAGCUAGUUGGUGAGGUAAUGGCCCACCAAGGCGACAAUCGGUAGCCGGACUGAGAGGUUGAACGGCCACAUUGGGACUGAGACACGGCCCAGACUCCUACGGGAGGCAGCAGUGGGGAAUAUUGCACAAUGGGGGAAACCCUGAUGCAGCGACGCCGCGUGGAGGAAGAAGGUCUUCGGAUUGUAAACUCCUGUUGUUGAGGAAGAUAAUGACGGUACUCAACAAGGAAGUGACGGCUAACUACGUGCCAGCAGCCGCGGUAAAACGUAGGUCACAAGCGUUGUCCGGAAUUACUGGGUGUAAAGGGAGCGCAGGCGGGAAGACAAGUUGGAAGUGAAAUCCAUGGGCUCAACCCAUGAACUGCUUUCACAACUGUUUUUCUUGAGUAGUGCAGAGGUACGCGGAAUCCCGGUGUAGCGGUGGAAUGCGUAGAUAUCGGGAGGAACACCAGUGGCGAAGGCGGCCUACUGGGCACCAACUGACGCUGAGGCUCGAAAGUGUGGGUAGCAAACAGGAUUAGAUACNCUGGUAGUCCACACCGUAAACGAUGAUUACUAGGUGUUGGAGGAUUGACCCCUUCAGUGCCGCAGUUAACACAAUAAGUAAUCCACCUGGGGAGUACGACCGCAAGGUUGAAACUCAAAGGAAUUGACGGGGGCCCGCACAAGCAGUGGAGUAUGUGGUUUAAUUCGACGCAACGCGAAGAACCUUACCAAGUCUUGACAUCCUGCGACGGACAUAGAAAUAUGUCUUUCCUUCGGGACGCAGAGACAGGUGGUGCAUGGUUGUCGUCAGCUCGUGUCGUGAGAUGUUGGGUUAAGUUCCGCAACGAGCGCAACCCUUAUGGUCAGUUACUACGCAAGAGGACUCUGGCCAGACUGCCGUUGACAAAACGGAGGAAGGUGGGGAUGACGUCAAAUCAUCAUGCCCUUUAUGACUUGGGCUACACACGUACUACAAUGGCGUUAAACAAAGAGAAGCAAGACCGCGAGGUGGAGCAAAACUCAGAAACAACGUCCCAGUUCGGACUGCAGGCUGCAACUCGCCUGCACGAAGUCGGAAUUGCUAGUAAUCGCGGAUCAGCAUGCCACGGUGAAUACGUUCCCGGGCCUUGUACACACCGCCCGUC